UACGAAGGGGGCUAGCGUUGUUCGGAAUUACUGGGCGUAAAGCGCGCGCAGGCGGUUCUUCAAGUCAGUGGUGAAAGCCCGGAGCUCAACUCCGGAAUUGCCAUUGAAACUGGGGAACUUGAGUACAGAAGAGGAAAGUGGAAUUCCACGUGUAGCGGUGAAAUGCGUAGAGAUGUGGAGGAACACCAGUGGCGAAGGCGACUUUCUGGUCUGUAACUGACACUGAGGCGCGAAAGCGUGGGGAGCAAACAGG
rnacentral:rRNA from 1 species